AUGAAAAUCGACAUCUACUUGUGUCUACUGCGGGUUGGGUGGCCUGGAGUUGGCGGCGGAUACCCUGGAUCCCCACUCGAGGAGCUCCUUGCUGGUGUCGUCCUUGUGCGCCACCACCUCGAUGAAGCAGAGGCAGUCCUUCUUGUCCCC
rnacentral:rRNA from 1 species